UACGGAGGAUGCAAGCGUUAUCCGGAAUGAUUGGGCGUAAAGAGCUCGUAAGCGGUUUGUCGCGUCUGCUGUGAAAACUCGGGGCUUAACCCCGGGCCUGCAGUGGGUACGGGCAGACUAGAGUGCGGUAGGGGAGACUGGAAUUCCUGGUGUAGCGGUGGAAUGCGCAGAUAUCAGGAGGAACACCGGUGGCGAAGGCGGGUCUCUGGGCAGUAACUGACGCUGAGGAGCGAAAGCGUGGGGAGCGAACAGG
rnacentral:rRNA from 1 species